rnacentral:sRNA from 1 species
AAGUGAACAUUUAGCACCUUUGAUCACCCCCACCCAAUGCCAGCCCUGGGGAUGGAGGUCCUUGCCUGAAAAGAAUGUGGUGCCUCUACUUUAGGCAUGCGCUUCUAACUGUUCACCAGAAGUGGAGCAGUCUGUUCAGAGAGGAAAGAACAUCAGUUUAUUAUUCAUUAAACUUUUAACUUUUAAGAGAAAGAAACAGACCCUGCCAGAAGAUUCCACUAGGCAGUAUAGCCCAGUAUCAUAUCCCCACAAAGCAGCUAAAGGCAGAGGUGAUUUUAGAACCUCAUGAAGUCUCAGUUACUGAAAAUUAUUUUCAGACCCAAUGGCUUAUUUGGUCUUUUUCUGCAAGUUUCAGGAAAAUAUACAUGCAAGAAGGCAAACCAAACUUAUUGGACAUGGGCUCUUUGAUGAUCAAACCAAUUCAACGUGUGAUGAAAUACCCCCUAUUACUGUGCGAACUUCGGAAUUCCACCCCUCCCUCUCACCCAGAUUACAGAGCACUGGACGAUGCCUUUGCUGCUGUGAAGGACAUUAAUGUUAACAUCAAUGAACUUAAAAGAAGGAAAGAUUUAGUUCUAAAAUACAAGAAGAAUGACGAGGAUGAAUCACUUAAAGACAAAUUGUCUAAACUAAAUAUUCAUUCAAUUAGCAAGAAAUCAAAAAGAGUGACAAAUCAUCUGAAGAUUCUGACCAGAGGAGAAUCACAGGUUAAAGACAAUACCUUUAACAGAGAAGAAAAGCUGUUUAGAGCUUUAGAAAAGACUGUGAGGCUUUGUGUGAAGAACAUUUCACUCUGUCUUCAACACAUACAGGAUGCAAUGCCCCUGGCUCUGCAGAGUGUGAUGGACCUUCAGGAGAUUUCAUACAACAAAGACGAUGAGAUGGACUAUUCUGAGACCCUAAGUAAUGCCUUAAAUUCGUGUCAUGACUUUGCAUCUCAUUUACAGAGACUCAUCCUGACCCCCUUGUCAGCCCUGCUGUCCUUAUUCCCAGGGCCUCACAAGCUCAUCCAGAAACGCUAUGACAAACUGCUGGAUUGCAACAGCUACCUGCAGCGAUCAGCGGGAGAGGAGUCAGACUUGGCCAAAAAGGAGUAUGAGGCCCUCAACGCCCAGCUUGUGGAGGAGCUCCAGGCAUUCAACCAGGCUGCUCGGAAGAUUCUGUUGAACUGUCUAUGCAGCUUCAUUACCCUCCUUAGGGACCUGAUGCUCGUGGCACAGCAGGCUUAUUCCACACUUGUGCCGGUGCCACUGUUGGUUUCAAGCAUUUCUGAGAUUCAGAAUCAAGUACUAGAAGAGAUCCAAAAUUUGAAUUGUGUGAAAGAAAACAGUGCCACCUUUAUUGAGAGGAAACUCAGUUUUGAAAAGAAGAAACCUGUGCAGAUUCUGCCAGAAAUGCCACAUCAAACUGACAUUCAUCGCUCCAAACUUCUAUCCACAUAUAGUUCAGAGGAACUCUAUCAAGCUAAGCGCAAGUGCAAUGCUACACAAGAAUAUGACAUCAAUCUUCUGGAAGGAGACUUGGUGGCUGUGAUAGAACAGAAAGAUCCACUGGGGAGUACAAGCAGGUGGCUUGUGGACACAGGAAAUGUGAAAGGAUAUGUUUAUUCCUCCUUCCUAAAACCCUACAAUCCAGCAAAAAUGCAGAAAGUGGAUGCUGAGAACAGGUUCUGUGACG